rnacentral:rRNA from 1 species
UGCCUUUAUAGUUAGUGGCGGACGGGUGAGUAACGCGUGGGAACCUGGCCUAGAGUGGGGAACAACCAUUGGAAACGAUGGCUAAUACCGCAUAAUCCCUUAGGGGGAAAGGCUUCGGCCGCUCUUGGAUGGUCCCGCGUCUGAUUAGCUUGUUGGUAGGGUAAUGGCCUACCAAGGCGACGAUCAGUAGCUGGUUUGAGAGGAUGAUCAGCCACACUGGGACUGAGACACGGCCCAGACUCC